rnacentral:rRNA from 1 species
GAUGAACGCUGGCGGCGUGCCUAAUACAUGCAAGUCGAGCGAACGGACGAGAAGCUUGCUUCUCUGAUGUUAGCGGCGGACGGGUGAGUAACACGUGGAUAACCUACCUAUAAGACUGGGAUAACUUCGGGAAACCGGAGCUAAUACCGGAUAAUAUUUUGAACCGCAUGGUUCAAAAGUGAAAGACGGUCUUGCUGUCACUUAUAGAUGGAUCCGCGCUGCAUUAGCUAGUUGGUAAGGUAACGGCUUACCAAGGCAACGAUGCAUAGCCGACCUGAGAGGGUGAUCGGCCACACUGGAACUGAGACACGGUCCAGACUCCUACGGGAGGCAGCAGUAGGGAAUCUUCCGCAAUGGGAGAAAGCCUGACGGAGCAACGCCGCGUGAGUGAUGAAGGUCUUCGGAUCGUAAAACUCUGUUAGUAGGGAAGAACAUAUGUGUAAGUAACUGUGCACAUCUUGACGGUACCUAAUCAGAAAGCCACGGCUAACUACGUG